GUCCAGACUCCUACGGGAGGCAGCAGUGGGGAAUAUUGCACAAUGGGGGGAACCCUGAUGCAGCGACGCCGCGUGGGUGAAGGAGCACCUCGGUGCGUAAAGCCCUAUCGGCAGGGGAGAAAAGCGAACAGGUUCGCCUGGACGGUACCUGACUAAGAAGCCCCGGCUAACUACGUGCCAGCAGCCGCGGGAAUACGUAGGGGGCAAGCGUUAUCCGGAUUCACUGGGUGUAAAGGGAGCGUAGACGGCGUCGCAAGUCUGAAGUGAAAGCCCGUGGCUCAACCGCGGAACCGCUUUGGAAACUGCGAGGCUGGAGUGCUGGAGAGGUAAGCGGAAUUCCUGGUGUAGCGGUGAAAUGCGUAGAUAUCAGGAGGAACACCGGUGGCGAAGGCGGCUUACUGGACAGUGACUGACGUUGAGGCUCGAAAGCGUGGGGAGCGAACAGGAUUAGAUACCCGCGUA
rnacentral:rRNA from 1 species